GAAAUUACCCGCAUAGAUAAAUACAAUUUGCCAUGUGCUCCAAACAGUAAAUCACUUCUUACUGUUGAGGUUAAUCUACCCCAUAUUGUUGCUUUUACGUUGAACAAUGUGGAACCUAUAGCUCUGAACUAUAAAUUACUAUUUGUUGGAGUCAUACCAAAGAGUAACAAUGUGACAUAAUGUCUACACAUUGUUAUAUGAUAAGGAGACAAAAACUCGUGAGAAAUAGUAGCAAUAUAAAUUUACCCCAUGUCAUGAGGUUGAUGUUUAUAAUUGAGCAACAUACUAACACCAUCACAAUUCACUAUAUAUUACAUCUCCUUAACUAUUUGGCAAAGAGUGCUGCGCAUUAGUUUUUGUGAACAAUCGUGUACUGACACUUUUCGUCGUUCUGCUGCAGUGAAGGUGCCAAAACUUGUUUUGUUUGCUCGCCGCGGACCCAACUCGCAAUUUUGUUAGCAUCCGGUUUAAAGACAAUAUCUGCUUCGUAGAAAAUUGCAAGUUGAAUUGGGACCAAGAUCAGGAAAUUUAUCUGAAGCGAUCCUUAAGUGCCACUAGCGUCGGAAACGUUUUCCCCCCGGAACAUCGUCGUCGGCUUCGGCCGCAUCGGCAAUCAGUAGUCGACCACCGUAGACGGCACUGCGUCGCAGACAAACGUCAUGUUCUUUACCUUCCCUGCAUCAACUAUUAUUGUGGAACCCGCCGCCGGAUGUGUCGGUGAAAGAUCCUUUCGAGAUGGUGCUGAGCACUCGCUGGAGGAGGUCUUCGAAAACCCUUUUUUUGGUGAAUGGGGUUGCGAUUAAUGUGCUAUUUAUACGGACGACGACGAGGAAACCCGACUGCUGGUCAAGGUCAAUCCGGAAGUGAUCGCCGACCAGAAAGUCAACAACCUUAAGGAAUUUUUCCCCAGAAAUUUGGUCCGACGGUGUUCUUUGCAGGACGGCGAAAGAAGAUUGGCAGGGAGCUGAAUCAAAUUCCCUGAGUGAUCGAUAGAAAGCGAAAGGUGCAAAGCAGAGUCGGGAGGAACGUUCGCUGUAUGGGAGAAGGGCCACCCGUUUGUGCUGGAAAAUCCUAGCGCUUUGAAGAAGUUUGUGGGGUAAAUGGAGACGAUCGACAAAUUGAAACAGGUACACCGGAUGGUUAGAAACCAAUUUAGAAUAAAAUAAAUUUAUAAUCAUUUUUAAUUAUUAAACAAUUAAGACAAAUCAUUAAAAAAAAUUUUUACUAUAAGGCAAUUAAGCUGCUAUGCAUGAUCAUAUAUACUGCGUAUACAAAACAAGCAUUAGUCUGCAUCAAAAAUUGUAUCAGAUGAAUUUAAAUAAAAAAAGGAUCACAAUAAACUAACAUUGAAUUAAUUGUUUGCAAACUCGACUUGUUUAGCUCAUUCAGAGCAAUGCUUGCUUUGUAUAAAUACACAGUAUAUAAUCAUGCAUUACGGCCUAAUUGCCCAUUACAGCUUAAUUGGUUCAUCGUUAUUUAUAAGAUAAAGAUACAUGAAUAAUACGGAAUAUUGUUAAUUUAAGCAUACAGCACAAUAAACGAACAUUUUCAUUUGA